rnacentral:rRNA from 1 species
UGGGGAAUAUUGGACAAUGGGCGAAAGCCUGAUCCAGCCAUGCCGCGUGUGUGAAGAAGGUCUUCGGAUUGUAAAGCACUUUAAGUUGGGAGGAAGGGCAGUAAGCGAAUACCUUGCUGUUUUGACGGUACCGACAGAAUAAGCACCGGCUAACUCUGUGCCAGCAGCCGCGGUAAUACAGAGGGUGCAAGCGUUAAUCGGAAUUACUGGGCGUAAAGCGUGCGUAGGCGGCUAAUUGAGUCGGAUGUGAAAUCCCCGAGCUUAACUUGGGAAUUGCAUUCGAUACUGGUUAGCUAGAGUGUGGGAGAGGAUGGUAGAAUUCCAGGUGUAGCGGUGAAAUGCGUAGAGAUCUGGAGGAAUACCGAUGGCGAAGGCAGCCAUCUGGCCUAACACUGACGCUGAGGUACGAAAGCAUGGGGAGCAAACAGG